UCGGGGAUUCAAUCUUGCAACAUUUCGGUUACUAGUCCAACUCUCUAACUGCUAGGCUACCUGCCACCCAGUGCAAUUUGAAUGCAUCUCAUUGUGUAGUGGUUAUCCAUUGGGGCUGUUACAGCACUGCGUAUCAGUGUGGAAUUUUGUUUUGGUUGUUGUUGUUGUUGUAAGAGGAUCCCACUGGGUGCCAUGUCUCUGUGCUGUGUCUGGGUGAUUUGUCUCUGUUGCAGGUCCAGUGCUCAAGCUGCAGCAGCGAACCCCUCGCCGGCGGGGCCAGCAAACUGCUGAACAGCCCUGAAGACAGUCUCUAUUACAACCAGCUAAAUAGAAAUCUGGAUUACCAAGGGAGCAAGAGGAAGCUGAGAACUUGGCUAAAUCCAAGUGCUGGACAGAGUACUACAAAUUACUGUCACCGGUGGAGUCAAUCCCCGAGGAAGGCUACUCCACUGGGGCCCCUCCCACCCUGUCAAGAGGGCCACUCUUCAGUCAGAACUGAGCUACAACCCCUGUCAACUAGUAAGAGUCAAAGAGCACUAGCCAGACACACACUGAAAGAACAUUUCCUCCAUAUGCACCAUGUAUUACAAGUACCAGUGAUGUACAACAAGAGACCAAAGCAAAUUAUUUUUAAUUAUUAUUAUUAUUUAUUUAUUUUAAUUAUUUUUAAGAAUGACUAAUGAUGCUCCCCAUGUACAGGUAUGUGUGUAUCUGGCUGAUCAUGAACUUUUCUCAUGAAUAUAGUUCCGCUGCCAUGUUGUACAUCAGCAGUUCCUUGUACAUUGACACCUCCCCCACACACCUCUCAAUUUAGUCAGAUAGGCUCCAGUAAUGGAGGGAUUAGUUAUGGUGUCGUUCAUUCCUCUUCUGGCUUGUUUUGAACAAAUCUGGUUCACACAAGAGACUCAUGUUAAAAGAAAUAUCAUGACAAAUCAUGACAAAAUGGUACAGAUGUUGCAUCCAUACAUUAAAAGUCAACGACAAAUGCACGUUUGUGGGGAGAAAAUGACAGCUGUUUAGCGGAAGAGGAAAAGACCAAUGAAAUCAUAUAUUUUUCUUCUAUGAAGUUUCAUUGUCAGGGAAUAUUGUACAAUAGACCCUGACUAAGACUCCCCUAACAGCAAGCUUGAGCCAAAGUAGAUACUGUAGGAAAACAGCUCUAUUUAGAGAGGAGGGGUGGAAAUCAGUCAUGGAACCAGACUCUGAGAACUAGACAUUUGCCCAUCAUCCUCAGUCUGUGCAGACCAGGGCUAGCAUUCGAAAGGAGUAAUAGUGUCAUGAUCGGUGUAUCAAUUCUCUGUUCACUGUGGUACACUAAAUUAAGUGUAUCAAUUCUCUGUUCACUGUGGUACACUAAAUUAAGUGUAGCAAUUCUCUGUUCACUGUGGUACACUAAAUUAAGUGUAGCAAUUCUCUGUUCACUGUGGUACACUAAAUUAAGUGUAGCAAUUCUGUUGUCAAGUCCUCUCCCUGAAAAGCUGUAUUGAGAACAUAGAGGUAUACUGCAAUGUGAAUAGUCAAUGUUGUUAUUUAACCCUUUGCGGUUAAUUAUUCAACCCCUUUCAGUGAAUUAUUCAAUAAUGAUUGUAAUAUGUUUUUUUAUUUUUAUCAUUAUACCCAGAGUGAUCUAUAGAUGCUGUGUACUAGAAUCUCCAAAAAUUGUCUUUCACUGAAACAGAGCUAGUCGUAACUCUGAAUUUCCCCCAAAGUAUAAGAAUUUCCUUUUAAGAUGUGUCGGAAAUGCGGGGCUGGCAAGUUGAUUUGUAGUGGGGGGUAAUUUGCAUAUCAUUUACUGCAUCUCCUUUUGUUGACACCCCAGGGCCCAAGCCAAGAUUUUGAUCUUAAUAGGAAGAGUAGGGGGGUAUGACUAGUUAAAUAAAGGUUAAAUAAAUAAAAUAAAUAAAAAUGACUGAAGAUCCCUUCCUCCUUAUUCUUACUCAGUGAGAAACACAUUAGAGCUCUGCCGAGAUAGCAGGACCAGCCACAGUCAGUCCAGGUUCUACUCUACUCUAAUUCCUUUGGGUUUUCAGAAGCCCUAGUUGGCCAUCAGAGAGCAAGACUACUUACAAUACGCGUCAGGACUAGGUCGAGUUGCAUUCAGGUUUUGUGGGACUUUAAAGCUAACAUGUUGUCUGGCUUUUUCACAUUGUGAGACAUACUGUACUAAUAUGUACUAAUAAUGUUAUUCAUACCUGCGUACAUUUUAUUUGCCAUAUCUUCAAUCUAAGCCUACUAGAAAGUCUGUGCCCUCAUGCCUGGAGGGAAGCUAGAAGUAAUUCUGCUACCCAAGAAUAGUAAAGCCCCCUUUACUAGUUCAAUUAGCCGAGCAAUCAGCCUGAUACCAACCCUUCGUAAACUUUUGGAAAAAAUUGUGUUUGACUAGAUACAAUGCUAUUUUACU